AUUGAACGCUGGCGGAAUGCUUUACACAUGCAAGUCGAGCGGCAGCGCGGGGCAACCUGGCGGCGAGCGGCGAACGGGUGAGUAAUACAUCGGAACGUGCCCAGACGUGGGGGAUAACUACUCGAAAGAGUAGCUAAUACCGCAUACGAUCUACGGAUGAAAAAGCGGGGGAUCGCAAGACCUCGCGCGUCUGGAGCGGCUGAUGGCAGAUUAGGUAGUUGGUUGGAUAAAAGCCUACCAAGCCAACGAUCUGUAGCUGGUCUGAGAGGAUGAUCAGCCACACUGGGACUGAGACACGGCCCAGACUCCUACGGGAGGCAGCAGUGGGGAAUUUUGGACAAUGGGCGAAAGCCUGAUCCAGCCAUGCCGCGUGUGUGAAGAAGGCCUUAGGGUUGUAAAGCACUUUCAUUGGGGAGAAAGGCUGUUUGGUUAAUACCCAAGCAGAUUGAUGUUACCCAAAGAAGAAGGACCGGCUAACUCCGCG
rnacentral:rRNA from 1 species